AAAGGGCCCAAAUCCCAAAGAUCCCAAAUCCCAGAGGGCCCUUCCCAAAUCCCAAAGACCCCAAAUCCCAAAGAUCCCAAAUCCCAGAGGGCCCUUCCCAAAUCCCAAAGAUCCCAAAUCCCAAAGAUCCCAAAUCCCAGAGGGCCCUUCCCAAAUCCCAAAGAUCCCAAAUCCCAAAGAUCCCAAAUCCCAGAGGGCCCUUCCCAAAUCCCAAACCUCUCCAAAACCUCUCUCCUACCCCCCCAAAAAACCCCAAACCUCUCCCCAAAUCCCGAAUUUCCCUAAUUGAGUUUUUGUUUUAUGUUUGAAUUUUUUGUUGUAUUUUUGCAGCUCUCGCUGUUCCCGUUCCGGCCCCUCCCUUUCCCAGGAGGUUCCCAAGGAUGAUCCCGAGGCUCUGGAAAUUCCCAAAAUUCCAGUUCCUCUUCCACAUUCCCCAGAACCAGCCCAGAAUUCCCAAAAUUCCCCCCUGGCUUUUCCUGGGGGGUUCCAGCCCCGAAAUUCUGCAGCCCCACAGCAGAGGGAGGAGGAGCCGGGAGCUGAGGCACAGAAUGAAGGCUCAGAUUCUGUCAUUUUGCUCAAAGUCAAGGAUUCCAAGACUCCAGCUCCAAGCCUCCCCUUUUUCCAGGCCGAGCUGUGGAUUAAAGAGCUGACAAGUGUUUAUGAUUCCCGAGCCAGAGAGAGGUGGAGACAAAUCGAGGAGCAGAAAGCUCUGGCCCUGCAGCUCCAGAGCCAGGUGAGACUUGGGGAAAAAAAAAAAACCCUGGAAUGGCAAAAAUGGGGGAAAAAAGUGAAAAAACAGGGAAAAAAAUCAAAUUUUUGAACUCUUUGACAGCCAAGAAAAGAGGGAAUAUUAUCCCAGAGUGGGAAGGAGCUCAGGGAUUGGAAAAGGAGGCAGGAUCUGUGGGAAUGGGGGGAAAAAAUGCAGAUUUGGCACUAGGAAAGGUUGAAUUCCAUCAUUCCAGAGGUUUUUCCUGAUUUUAUUGAUCCUAAAUCCAAGAAAUGGGGGAAAAAAUGCAGAUUUGGCACUUGGAAAGGUUGAAUUCCAUCAUUCCAGAGGUUUUUCCUGAUUUUAUUGAUCCUAAAUCCAAGAAAUGGGGGAAAAAAUGCAGAUUUGGCACUUGGAAGGGUUGAAUUCCAUCAUUCCAGAUGUUUUCCUCAAUUUUCUUGGUCCUAAAUUGUAGAAAUGGGGAAAGAAAUGUAGAUUUGGCAUUUGGAAGGGUUGAAUUCCAUCAUUCCAGAGGUUUUUCCUGAUUUUAUUGAUCCUAAAUCCUGGAAAUGGGAGAGAAAAAAUGCAGAUGUGGCUCUGGAAGGGUUGAAUUCCAUCAUUCCAGAAGUUUUUCCCAAUUUUAUUGAUCCUAAAUCCUGGAAAUGGGGGAAAAAAUGCAGAUUUGG
rnacentral:lncRNA from 1 species